GCUCAGAGCGAACGCUGGCGGCAGGCCUAACACAUGCAAGUCGAACGGACCCUUCGGGGUUAGUGGCGGACGGGUGAGUAACACGUGGGAACGUGCCUUUAGGUUCGGAAUAGCUCCUGGAAACGGGUGGUAAUGCCGAAUGUGCCCUUCGGGGGAAAGAUUUAUCGCCUUUAGAGCGGCCCGCGUCUGAUUAGCUAGUUGGUGAGGUAACGGCUCACCAAGGCGACGAUCAGUAGCUGGUCUGAGAGGAUGACCAGCCACACUGGGACUGAGACACGGCCCAGACUCCUACGGGAGGCAGCAGUGGGGAAUCUUGCGCAAUGGGCGAAAGCCUGACGCAGCCAUGCCGCGUGAAUGAUGAAGGUCUUAGGAUUGUAAAAUUCUUUCACCGGGGACGAUAAUGACGGUACCCGGAGAAGAAGCCCCGGCUAACUUCGUGCCAGCAGCCGCGGUAAUACGAAGGGGGCUAGCGUUGCUCGGAAUUACUGGGCGUAAAGGGCGCGUAGGCGGAUCGUUAAGUCAGAGGUGAAAUCCCAGGGCUCAACCCUGGAACUGCCUUUGAUACUGGCGAUCUUGAGUAUGAGAGAGGUAUGUGGAACUCCGAGUGUAGAGGUGAAAUUCGUAGAUAUUCGGAAGAACACCAGUGGCGAAGGCGACAUACUGGCUCAUUACUGACGCUGAAGCGCGAAAAGCGU
rnacentral:rRNA from 1 species